rnacentral:lncRNA from 1 species
AUUCCUCUGAGCGUAGGUGAUUCUGGUGGCUUUUCUUGGGACUCGCUAGGCGACCCAUUCUGCUCGCCUAGCGAGCAUGACAGCUAAUGAACAAACUUUUGCUCCUUCAAGAUUAACGUUUUGAAUGAUGAAUAGACCCCAUCUGAACAUGUUGGAAGUAUCUCAAGCCAUUCCCUUGUGUUGACUGAUCACCCAGAUAGGACCCACAAAGUGUCUUGGAUGAUAUUCAAGCUUCUUGGAUAUAAUUCCGAUU